rnacentral:lncRNA from 1 species
UCAUAAUAGCCACGAUCUUCGAACACAAAAUAGAAAGUUUAUGAAGAUUUAUAUAACCUAAUGCUCUUACAUCAUGCAUAAAUUAACUAAAGUGAAAUAGUUCAAGAGUUUUUGCCUUUUAUGCAUUUCCCGUAUUAACAUAUCAUUUAGUUGUUCUCAAGUAACUCAGAAGGCUCGAUUUUAUCAUGGUCAAAAAGAUGAUCUUAUCUGAUAAUGAAUAUGUCAUGCACUCGGUAUAACGAAAGAGAGAAGUUAAAUUCUAUCGUUAUUAUUGAAUUUGACAUAAUCUCAUUGAUAUAAACGUGUCUAUAUAUUUUUUAUAUUCCAGUCUUCUUGUUCUGUUUUUGUCCUUGAACGCAAU